rnacentral:tRNA from 1 species
GCUGGCGUAGCUCAGUCGGUAGAGCACACCCUUGGUAAGGGUGAGGUCAUCGGUUCAAUCCCGAUCGCCAGCU